rnacentral:rRNA from 1 species
AUACGUAGGGUGCGAGCGUUGUCCGGAAUUACUGGGCGUAAAGAGCUCGUAGGUGGUUUGUCGCGUCGUCUGUGAAAUUCCGGGGCUUAACUCCGGGCGUGCAGGCGAUACGGGCAUAACUUGAGUACUGUAGGGGAGACUGGAAUUCCUGGUGUAGCGGUGAAAUGCGCAGAUAUCAGGAGGAACACCGGUGGCGAAGGCGGGUCUCUGGGCAGUAACUGACGCUGAGGAGCGAGAGCAUGGGUAGCGAACAGGAUUAGAUACCCUGGUAGUCCAUGCCGUAAACGGUGGGCGCUAGGUGUAGGGGUCUUCCACGACUUCUGUGCCGUAGCUAACGCAUUAAGCGCCCCGCCUGGGGAGUACGGCCGCAAGGCUAAAACUCAAAGGAAUUGACGGGG